AACCCCUUGUGCUUCUGUUAGUCCUCUGGACAAAUUAAUUUGUCAUCUGUAUUGGCUGUUUGAGCUCCUCACUCCAUGACUCCUCCCCCUGGCCCAAAAUUCUCUCAGAUACACAGCCCAUGAGCUGACAGAGCUGGUAGUUCCUUGUGUUAUAAUCUGAGGGAUUCUUUCCCAAAUAUCUCUCCUAACUGGCUUGAAAUUCAAUUAUUAGAGAUUUACUCCCAUGGCUCUGGAUGGAUCACAGAUUUGGAGCUGGACCAAGAAAGGGAAGAAGGGAACUAAAAAGGAGCAGUGGCAUUAUUGUUUUAAUUACCGUUUCCAGAGCAAGAAGUAAAAAGCAGGGGCUAUUUGAAGAUGCGGGAGAAAGCCAGCCCCUGCAGAGCAUAUGGCAAGAUGCCCAGGUCUGCACAACAUAUGGCAUGGUCCACUUGCAGCCCACCAAAGGAUUUCGGAGGACCCUCAAAAAAUGUAGAGGAUGUAAAAGAAAGUAAAGAUGUAACAAGUGCUUUGUCCGUACCCUGCUUAACCUGCCUUCCACUGAUCACUUUAUUCACAUGGUUACCAUCCUAACACAGGACCUCGAUCGCAAAAGCCUCUCAAUCGGUCUCCCUGUUGUAAGUUUCUCCUCACUCCAAUUCAGCUGCCAAAGUAACUUUCAUAGAGCUCACAUUUGACCAUACUCGUUCCCUUACUCAAUAAACUUCAGUGGCUCCCUAUUGGCUCUAAAAUUUUUAUUAAUAUAUAAUAAUGAAAUUUAUUAUUAAUAAUAAAAUUAUAUAUUAUUUCACUUCUUUUUAUUUCUAUUUUUAUGUAAAUUAGAUAAUGUAACUUUCUUUUAAGUAGGAAUGGUUUCAGCUUCACUUCGUAUUUGUAUUCCUAGAGUCUUGCACAGUGCCUGGUACACAAUUCUUACUAAUUACAUAAUUAUUAGUACAGUGGUACAGGUACAUAACUUACAAAUAAACACAUUUAUGUGACACACAUGCUCAAAAAUUACUAAUAGGAGUAUGGAGCCAAAAAAUUUAAAGACUACCGUACUAGGAUAAUGCACUCCAAAUUUUUUUCAUUAUACAAAUUCAGCUGCCCGAGUGCCUGGGUAAGAUUCGGUUACAACUUCACUGACAGGUUGUUAAGGCCUGGAAAAGAAAUGUUGGGAGCUAGUACAGUCUUGGGAGGUGAAGGAGUUGAGGAGUGUUGAGCUGUAAUGAGUGAAGGACUGGUGAGGGUGAGUUGGAAAUGAGCUCCAUUGCCUACCUGGGGAGUGUGUAUGAUUGGCUGAUCAUACAUCCCUUGGGUUCUAGCCACAACCCCCAACCCAAACUUUGGAGACCAAUGGAAUAAAAGAUACCCCACACAAAGUCUAACUCAGGAGAUUUUUGAAGAAUUGCCAUUGGCCUGGAGCCAAAGCACCUUCAGCACACUGCCUAGAAUGCUAUGGGUAUUGUUUUGAAGGAGUUUCAGAAACAUUCAACGACAUUCUUCUGGAAACCUGUUUCAGUG